rnacentral:misc_RNA from 1 species
ACUAAUAGCACUACAUGUAUGAAUUGAUGUUGUUAUUUGGCCAAAAGUGAUACAUGUAUUAAUUGAUAAUAGUUGUCCACUAUUGCUACAUGUAUAAAUUGAUGAUUUUACUUGACUAAUAGCACUACAUGUAUUAUUGAUGAUGUUAUUUGGCUAAUAGGGAUACAUGUAUUAAUUGAUGAUGAUAACUUUCUAAAUUUAAAUUAAUUGCACAUCUCUGUCUUUUUUUCGUAUGUAACUGAAUAAUGAAUAUUUCAAUUCACUGAUUUUGUAUCUUUUUUUCUGAAAUUAAAAUUCUCUUUCCGAUGUAUUCAUUGUAGGUUGAAAUUUGGUUGUAUUGCAUAUUUUAUUUCAUAGCUUUGUAAACAAUGGCUUUUCAUAUUUCAUGAAAAUAACUGCAAUAAUUUGGUCUUUGCUUUUUGCUCCAUUUGAAGCAAAGGCUCAUUACAAGUAUUUCUUAUAAAUGAGUGUUACAUGUAGGCUUUUCAGGAUUUUUUUUUCGUAUCAGGUGGUUAUAUGUACAUUUUGAAGUUUAUAACUGUAACAAAUAAUCCAUGAAUAUUAAACAGGUUAUUUAUUAAGUUAAAGAUUGUUAUUUGCUGUGUUCUUCUCAGAUAUCAUCUUAACAAUAUACUUAUGUUGUAAACUCUGCUCAAAAAUACAAAUGUAUAUGAUAAAAAAAAUGUUUGAUAUGUACAUUCAUUUAAAUUUGAAUACAUGUAACAUG